rnacentral:rRNA from 1 species
GACGAACGCUGGCGGCGUGCUUAACACAUGCAAGUCGAACGGAAAGGCCCUGCUUUUGUGGGGUGCUCGAGUGGCGAACGGGUGAGUAACACGUGAGUAACCUGCCCUUGACUUUGGGAUAACUUCAGGAAACUGGGGCUAAUACCGGAUAGGAGCUCCUGCUGCGUGGGGUUGGUUGGAAAGAUUCGGCGGUUGGGGAUGGACUCGCGGCUUAUCAGCUUGUUGGUGGGGUAGUGGCUGACCAAGGCUUUGACGGGUAGACGGCCUGGGAGGGUGACCGGCCACCUUGGGACUGAGAUACGGACCAGACUCCUACGGGAGGCAGCAGUGGGGAAUAUGGCACAAUGGGCGGAAGCCUGAUGUAGCAACGCCGCGUGCGGGAUGACGGGCUUCGGGUUGUAAACCGCUUUCGCAUGUGCCGAAGCGUGAGUGACGGUAAUGGGUAAAGAAGCACCGGCUAACUACGUG